GGAGGGAGAGUAGAGGAGGAGAGGAGGAGGAGAGGGAGAGGAGGUAGAGGAGAGGAGAGGAGAGGAGAGGAGAGGAGAGGAGAGGAGGAGAGGAGAGAGAGAGAGGAGGAGAGGAGAGUAGAGGAGAGGAGAGGAGAGGAGAGGAGAGGAGAGGAGAGAAGAGGAGGAGAGGAGAGUAGAGGAGGAGGAGAGUAGGAGGCGAGGAGAGAAUGAGGAGGAGAGGAGGGAGAGUAGAGGAGGAGGAGGAGAGGAUGAGGAGAAAGGAGAUAUCAGAGAGGAGAAGGGGAGGAAAAGAGGAUUGACUAACUUCAUAGACGUCCUUUACGUUCUCAGCAGUAAAUCAGUAAAACUGAGCGGCCUCCCUCAGUACCGGGGAAAGAAGGAAAUGUAAUGUGCGGCGCCAUGGCUUCUUUUUGCAAAACGGUUUGUUCAUGACAGCAUACGAGGAAAAAUGAAGGAAGCUCAAAGUGUGGUCAGAGCGACGGGGAACAGAGUGAGGUCGGGCUGAAUCAUCUUGCCGGUUGCGCAGAUUCAGUGACAAGCUUUGCGGUACUGUCUUAUCUGAAGGCCAGUGUCCUGUGACUCAAUGACUGCAUCACUGGAGUCAGACAUCAUGAGGACACAAAUAAGAUAAGAUUCAAGUGUAAUUUGUUAGAAAGUGCAGUUUGCUGUUCCAGACUGACUGCCUGCCACCGUAGAAGCUCCCGGCUCACUUCAAACCAAUCCGAAAUAUGUUCACUGAUUCGUUGGGGGAACCCAUCUUGCCUUUCACUCACAGGAGGUGCAACACUUGAGGAUGGUGGAGAGACAUAGGGUGGGAGAGAGGGAGGAGGGGAGGGAGGGAGGAGGGAGGGGGGAAGGAGAGAGGGAGGGACGAGAGAAGGAGAGGGAGCAGAGAGUGAUGGGGCAAGAGAGGGAGGAAUCAGAGAGGGAGGAGAUGGGAGGGAGGGAUUAGACGUAUUUUGGGUUGGCAGUUACUGCAGCCUCUCUUUACGGCUCUCAAAUCUUACCCAAAGCAGCUUUUAUCUAGAGAUGUGUGUACGUACUUACAUGACUUAUCUGUAUAAUUAAACAAUAAAUAUGCAUUCUAUGUUGUUCACUCUCUUCGAUAUGUCCCAAUUCAACGUUAUGGAAUAAUCUGACCAUAAGGGGUUACCAUUGUAGCAUCCAUCCGAGGCUGAACCAAACCCACCUCCACUCCACACAGACAG
ensembl:lncRNA